rnacentral:rRNA from 1 species
AGGACGAACGCUGGCGGCGUGCCUAACACAUGCAAGUCGAGCGAUGAAGCCUUCGGGGUGGAUUAGCGGCGGACGGGUGAGUAACACGUGGGUAACCUGCCUUAUAGAGGGGGAUAGCCUUCCGAAAGGAAGAUUAAUACCGCAUGAAAUGUUUUUAUCGCAUGGUAGAAACAUCAAAGGAGUAAUCCGCUAUAAGAUGGACCCGCGGCGCAUUAGCUAGUUGGUGAGGUAACGGCCCACCAAGGCGACGAUGCGUAGCCGACCUGAGAGGGUGAUCGGCCACAUUGGAACUGAGACGCGGUCCAGACUCCUACGGGAGGCAGCAGUGGGGAAUAUUGCGCAAUGGGGGAAACCCUGACGCAGCAACGCCGCGUGAAUGAAGAAGGCCUUAGGGUUGUAAAGUUCUGUUUUCUGGGACGAUAAUGACGGUACCAGAGGAGGAAGCCACGGCUAACUACGUGCCAGCCGCCGC